GAUGAACGCUGGCGGCGUGCCUAAUACAUGCCAGUCGAGCGAACGGACGAGAAGCUUGCUUCUCUGAUGUUAGCGGCGGACGGGUGAGUAACACGUGGAUAACCUACCUAUAAGACUGGGAUAACUUCGGGAAACCGUAGCUAAUACCGGAUAAUAUUUUGAACCGCAUGGUUCAAAAGUGAAAGACGGUCUUGCUGUCACUUAUAGAUGGAUCCGCGCUGCAUUAGCUAGUUGGUAAGGUAACGGCUUACCAAGGCAACGAUGCAUAGCCGACCUGAGAGGGUGAUCGGCCACACUGGAACUGAGACACGGUCCAGACUCCUACGGGAGGCAGCAGUAGGGAAUCUUCCGCAAUGGGCGAAAGCCUGAUGGAGCAACGCCGCGUGAGUGAUGAAGGUCUUCGGAUCGUAAAACUCUGUUAUUAGGGAAGAACAUAUGUGUAAGUAACUGUGCACAUCUUGACGGUACCUAAUCAGAAAGCCACGGCUAACUACGUG
rnacentral:rRNA from 1 species